UGUUUUGUGUCAGAUAACUUCAAUGUACCU
rnacentral:piRNA from 1 species